GAUGAACGCUAGCGACAGGCUUAACACAUGCAAGUCGAGGGGCAGCAUAGAAGUAGCAAUACUUUGGUGGCGACCGGCGCACGGGUGAGUAACGCGUAUGCAACCUACCUAUCAGAGGGGGAUAACCCGGCGAAAGUCGGACUAAUACCGCAUAAAACAGGGGCACCGCAUGGUGAUAUUUGUUAAAGAUUAAUUGCUGAUAGAUGGGCAUGCGUUCCAUUAGGUAGUUGGUGAGGUAAUGGCUCACCAAGCCGACGAUGGAUAGGGGAACUGAGAGGUUGGUCCCCCACACUGGUACUGAGACACGGACCAGACUCCUACGGGAGGCAGCAGUGAGGAAUAUUGGUCAAUGGGCGAGAGCCUGAACCAGCCAAGUCGCGUGAAGGAAGAAGGAUCUAUGGUUCGUAAACUUCUUUUGCAGGGGAAUAAAGUGGAGGACGUGUCCUCUUUUGUAUGUACCCUGAGAAUAAGGAUCGGCUAACUCCGUGCCAGCCGCCGCAGUAA
rnacentral:rRNA from 1 species